rnacentral:rRNA from 1 species
CAGCAGCCGCGGUAAUACGAAGGGGGCUAGCGUUGUUCGGAAUUACUGGGCGUAAAGCGCACGUAGGCGGACAUUUAAGUCAGGGGUGAAAUCCCGGGGCUCAACCCCGGAACUGCCUUUGAUACUGGGUGUCUAGAGUAUGGAAGAGGUGAGUGGAAUUCCGAGUGUAGAGGUGAAAUUCGUAGAUAUUCGGAGGAACACCAGUGGCGAAGGCGGCUCACUGGUCCAUUACUGACGCUGAGGUGCGAAAGCGUGGGGAGCAAACAGGAUUAGAUACCCCAGUAGUCCCUGUCUCUUAUAA